UAGGGAAUCUUCGGCAAUGGGGGGAACCCUGACGGAGCAACGCCGCGUGAGUGAAGAAGGUUUUCGGAUCGUAAAGCCCUGUUGUUAAGGAAGAACGAGUGUGAGAAUGGAAAGUUCAUGCUGUGACGGUACUUAACCAGAAAGGGACGGCUAACUACGUGCCAGCAGCCGCGGUAAUACGUAGGUCCCGAGCGUUGUCCGGAUUUAUUGGGCGUAAAGCGAGCGCAGGCGGUCAAUUAAGUCUGAUGUGAAAGCCCCCGGCUCAACCGGGGAGGGUCAUUGGAAACUGGUUGACUUGAGUGCAGAAGAGGAGAGUGGAAUUCCAUGUGUAGCGGUGAAAUGCGUAGAUAUAUGGAGGAACACCAGUGGCGAAGGCGACUCUCUGGUCUGUAACUGACGCUGAGGCUCGAAAGCGUGGGUAGCAAACAGG
rnacentral:rRNA from 1 species